rnacentral:rRNA from 1 species
CGGCGGACGGGUGAGUAACACGUGGAUAACCUACCUAUAAGACUGGGAUAACUUCGGGAAACCGGAGCUAAUACCGGAUAAUAUAUUGAACCGCAUGGUUCAAUAGUGAAAGACGGUUUUGCUGUCACUUAUAGAUGGAUCCGCGCUGCAUUAGCUAGUUGGUAAGGUAACGGCUUACCAAGGCAACGAUGCGUAGCCGACCUGAGGGGGUGAUCGGCCACACUGGAACUGAGACACGGUCCAGACUCCUACGGGAGGCAGCAGAC